rnacentral:ncRNA from 2 species
AUAUUAUCAAGAGUGAGCCGAGGGUUCUGGCCCGAUGACGCUCCGACAACCUGUCCGCCUUUGGCGAGAUAAGGUGCCUCCAGCCCUGUGCGGGGAAAGAUAGUGU